rnacentral:lncRNA from 1 species
AUAUAUUAUAUAAAAAUGUUGGAUUACAAUAGUGGAUAUUACAUGAGGAACAUCAUCCAAAUGUGAUACAUAAUCUAACUAUUUUCUUGACCGUGAUACUUAAACGGAAAGCAUCCAUCAACAACCCUACAACUUAACUAAAAUUGAACCGAGGAACAACAUCCAACAAGAGUAUCAUCCCUGCUACUCAACUAAAACUGAAAGCAUCAAUAAUCAUCAUGAACUGGAACAUCAACAUCAUCAGAGCAGUAUACUUGCCAC